rnacentral:rRNA from 1 species
UACAGAGGGUGCGAGCGUUGUUCGGAAUUAUUGGGCGUAAAGCGCUUGUAGGCGGCACGUCAAGUCGCGUGUGAAAUCCCCCAGGCUUAACCUGGGAAGUGCGCGCGAAACUGACGAGCUUGAGUGCCGGAGAGGGUCGCGGAAUUCCCGGUGUAGAGGUGAAAUUCGUAGAUAUCGGGAGGAACACCAGUGGCGAAGGCGGCAUCCUGGACCAAUUCUGACGCUGAGGAGCGAAAGCUAGGGGAGCAAACGGG